GCCAGGUGUGGUGGCGCGUGCCUGUAGUCCCAGCUACUCAGGAGGCUGAGGUGGGAGGAUCACUUGAGCCUGGGAGGUUGAGGCUGCAGUGAGCCAAGAUUGCACCACUGUACUCUAGCCUGGGCAACAGAGUGAGACCUUAACUCAA
ensembl:misc_RNA Metazoa_SRP Metazoan signal recognition particle RNA